AUGAAUAUUGCCCUCCUCUCCAAAUGGCUCUGGCGGAUCCAGACUGAGGAGGGCGGUCUCUGGCUAGAGAUUAUUCGCGCCAAGUACCUUCGUGGUCAACCACUGGCUUUUGCCUCUAGAUCAGGCGGGUCCCAAUUAUGGCAAUCGGUAAUCCGUCUGAUGUCUGUCCUGCGCAUUGGGACCUCCAUUUCUGUAGGGUCCGGUUCUGGUACCCUCUUUUGGCUACAUAGGUGGGCUGGGCCCCGCUCAUUUGAGGAGCGCUUCCCCUCAUUAUUCUCAAUCUGCACCCGCCCACUCCUAUCGGUUGCGGUAGCCUUAGCGGACUUGGGGGUUGUUGCCUUCCGCCGUACCUUCGGGGCGGGGGAACGCGAACAAUGGGACGAGCUAGUCGAAUGUAUUGCACUCCGCUCCCCCUCCCUCGAGCCGGAUACGCUAUCUUGGCAUCUUGAGCCAAAUGGCCGCUUCUCAACUAGGUCCCUUUAUCAGGCGAUUGUCCCCACUCCGGGACCGGCGGAAUUAUCCGUACUCUGGGCAAUCAAACUCCCCCUGAAGAUCCGCAUAUUCCUAUGGCAGUGGGUUCGAGGCCGGCUACCCUCGGGCACGGAGGUCCGCAAGCGUAGCGGUCCUGGGGAUGGCCUCUGCCCCCUUUGUUUGGUGCCGGAAGAUUGCAACCACAUUUUCUUCCGUUGCCGUGCAGCUCAAUUCCUAUGGAGUUGCUUCCGGGAGGUCGUGGGUGGCAACUAG
rnacentral:rRNA from 1 species